GAAAAACAAAAAAGUGUUCAACAAAAAUGCUAAAGAGCAUUGUAUAUAAAGUUCAUGUAUCCGAAAUUGGAGGAACAAUGGAUGUCUUCACCAAUAGUGACAGGUUGGGCUCAUUACAAAUGAGAUCCCGCCAGGUGAAAAUGUGGAGCAUCUAGUAAAAGUUACUAUUAAAAAUGAUGCAAGUAGAAUCCUAAAGUUCAAAAUGAACCAAAUAUCCAAAAUAAAAAAGUAAGCUAGUUAAUCCCCCUACUAAAACUGCAAAAUGAAAUCUUGGACCAUAGAAUAGACUAACCAAACUAGGAUUCAGGUUGAUUAUCUUGACUUAAUACUUCUUGCAUUGUAGGUGUUUA
rnacentral:lncRNA from 1 species